UACAGAGGUGCAAGCGUUGUUCGGAAUUACUGGGUGUAAAGCGUGCGCAGGCGGUUUUGUAAGUCUGUCGUGAAAUCCCCGGGCUCAACCUGGGAAUUGCGAUGGAGACUGCAAGGCUAGAAUCUGGCAGAGGGGGGUAGAAUUCCACGUGUAGCAGUGAAAUGCGUAGAGAUGUGGAGGAACACCGAUGGCGAAGGCAGCCCCCUGGGUCAAGAUUGACGCUCAUGCACGAAAGCGUGGGGAGCAAACAGG
rnacentral:rRNA from 1 species